UACGGGGGGAGCAAGCGUUGUUCGGAUUUACUGGGCGUAAAGGGCGCGUAGGCGGCGUAACAAGUCACUUGUGAAAUCUCCGGGCUUAACCCGGAGCGGCCAAGUGAUACUGUUGUGCUAGAGUGCGGAAGGGGCUACUGGAAUUCUCGGUGGUAGCGGUGAAAUGCGUUGAGAUCCACAGGAACUCCGGUGGCGAAGGCGGCCCGCUGGACCCCACCUGACGCUGACGGCGCGAAAGCCAGGGGAGCGAA
rnacentral:rRNA from 1 species